AGUCUGCGUUUACAUCCUAAUCCCUUUUGCGCUCUUUCUCUCUCUCUCUGCGACAAACCCUAGAUCUCUGUAGAACAUGUCUGGUAUGUACGGACAAGAAGCCGGCGAGUCCGGCCCCCCUCCGCACUACGGAGCUACUGGCGGUGCUGGAGGAUACGAUGGGGGAGGCUAUGGCGGUAGUGGCGGAGGAUAUGGUGGAAGUGGCGGCUCUGGUGGAUACGGUGGGGGCGGUGCCGGUGGUGGUGCGGGAGGCUAUGGAGGAGGAAAUAGCGAUGGUGGUUAUGGCGGCCGUGGCGGCCGAGGGGGUGGAGGCGGAUUUGGUGGUCGAGGGUAUCCUGGAGGAGAUCGUGGUGGCCGAGGCGGUGGAGGUGGUGGCCGAGGAGGAGGAGGUGGUGGUGGUGGACGUGGUGGGAGUGGCAGAGAUGGAGAUUGGCUUUGCCCUAAUCCAGGAUGUGGGAACUUGAACUUUGCCAGAAGAACUGAAUGUAACAAAUGCGGUGCACCCUCACCUGCGGGUGCAGGUGAUCGUGGGGGUAGCGGAGGCGGUUACAAUAGAGGUGGAAGUGGUGGUGGAUAUGGUGGCAGUCGAGGUGGUAAUUAUGGUGGUGGUAGAAGCAGUGAAUAUAAUGGAGGUAGAGGCGGUAAUAAUGAUGGUAGAGGUGGGGGAGGCAAUAGGGGUGGUUCAUAUGGAAAAGAAGAAGGUGUAUAUGGUCAGGCUCCUUCAGCAGCACCACAACCUUUUUAUGGUGGGGCUGGUGGCAACCAGCCGCCACCUUACAAUUCAUAUGGUGAGAACGCAAAUUAUGGAAUGGAUGCUGUUCCUCCGCCUACAAACUAUGCUGGAGGGCCUACAUCGUAUGCACCAUCUUAUGGCGGCCCUCCUGUGGGUGGUUAUGGUGGUGAUGGUCCUGGAAAUGUAAGAGGUGGCAGCCGUGGUGGCGCACCCGGUGGAUACGAUAGUGGACGUGGUGCUGGUGGUCGAGGUGGAUAUGGUGGUGCUCCUGCUGAGGCCCCUGCUGCUAAGGUGAAGCAGUGUGAUGAGAAUUGUGACGAUACUUGUGACAACGCAAGAAUCUACAUAUCAAAUUUGCCGCCAGAUGUGACGACUGAAGAACUAAGGGAGCUCUUCGGAGGCAUUGGACAAGUUGGAAGAAUCAAGCAAAAACGGGGAUAUAAGGAUCAAUGGCCCUGGAAUAUAAAAAUAUAUACAGAUGAGACGGGAAAUAACAAAGGUGACGCAUGUUUGGCCUUUGAAGAUCCGUCCGCUGCACAUUCAGCUGGAGGCUUUUUCAACGAUUACGAUAUGAGGGGAUAUAAAAUCAAUGUUGUGAUGGCAGAGAAGUCUGCACCAAAAGCUCCACCUAGCUUUGACCACCGGAGUGGAGGUAGAGGUGGAUAUGGAGGAGGAGAUAGGCGUAGGGAUAAUUAUAGAGACGGAUCUGGACCUGACAGACAUCAGCAUGGUGGGAAUCGAUCGCGUCCUUAUUAAGGAACCUCAGCAUAAAGCAUGUUUGUAACUAUGAAUUAUGGUCUGAGAUUUUAUUGUGUUCCUAUGGCGGGAUACUUGAACUGGAGACUAAGAGGUAGGUUGUUCACUUACUCUGAGCAAGACCUCUUCUCUCCUUUAACCCUCGUUCACCGCUAACUGGAGGGGCUUUUAUUUUUAGGCAUGGGAUUGAUUUUAAUUAUGUGAAUUUUUUAUAGAGGCAAGUGGAUAAUCUCCAAAUUGCUUGCUGCUAAGGUAGGUUGAUAUUUUCAGUUUGUGUUUUGCGUCCAUGUUCUAGGCAGUGUCUGGAAUAAUCUCCUUGAAAAGGUUCGAUGGUUUAUAGCAUGGCAGAGUGGCCUUGAUGAAAUUUUGACCGUUUAUGGAAGCGUUAGUGGGUUCAUCUUGAUCGUAAUUGGCCCGUCAGAUUCUAGUUUUUAUGCUUGUUAUGUGCCUCGAGUGUCUUACACUGAACCUAUUGACAUCUUCAACUGUCCAACGAUUUGCCUUGUCUUUAUAUAAACGUGUGAAUCCAUGAGAUUACACUGAACCUAACGACAUCUUUGAUUUGUUGUGCUCUUGAGGGUUUAUGUUUUGAUUUUCAGUUUGUCUGAACACAGAAUGUCAAUAUUUAGGGAUGUAGUUGGUAUGCCCUUUUAAGUAAUUGAUGAGGCUGCAGAUCUUGAUGCACCUCUCGAGUCGGGCUUUGGAGCUGUAAACUUAGAUAUUCUGGAUUACCUGACACCGUUUUGGCGGAUGGGGUGGUGUAUCUGAGGUUUACUCUUCCAAUGGUAGGCCAAAGGAUAAUGCUUUGGCUCAAUUUGUGCACUGUUUCCAUUGAAUUUACUUUUGCAAAUAUUCAAAAUUAUCUCCCUC